rnacentral:rRNA from 1 species
GAUGAACGCUGGCGGCGUGCCUAAUACAUGCAAGUCGAGCGAACGGACGAGAAGCUUGCUUCUCUGAUGUUAGCGGCGGACGGGAGAGUAACACGUGGAUAACCUACCUAUAAGACUGGUAUAACUUCGGGAAACCGGAGCUAAUACCGGAUAAUAUUUUGAACCGCAUGGUUCAAAAGUGAAAGACGGUCUUGCUGUCACUUAUAGAUGGAUCCGCGCUGCAUUAGCUGGUUGGUAAGGUAACGGCUUACCAAGGCAACGAUGCAUAGCCGACCUGAGAGGGUGAUCGGCGACACUGGAAGUGAGACACGGUCCAGACUACUAAGGGAGGCAGCAGUAGGGAAUCUGACGCAGUGGGCGAGAGCCUGACGGAGCAGGGCCACGUGAGUGAUGAAGGUGUUCGGAGCGUAAUACUCGGUUAUUAGGGAAGAACAGCUGUGUAAGUAGAUGUGCACAGCUUGACGGUAACUAGUCAGAAAGCCACGGCUAACUACGUG